rnacentral:misc_RNA from 1 species
CUGAAUGAUCAUCCUUGAUCUUCUACCCUCAAAACCCUGUGGACACAAGAUGUGCUUCGGCGUGGAAGCGCCGCCCUUAUGCACCUAGUCGUUUAUGUCUGGAGAAACAAAUGUCA